AGAACGAACGCUGGCGGCAUGCCUAAUACAUGCAAGUCGAACGAGACCUUCGGGUCUAGUGGCGCACGGGUGCGUAACGCGUGGGAAUCUACCCUUGGGUUCGGAAUAACAGUUGGAAACGACUGCUAAUACCGGAUGAUGACGAAAGUCCAAAGAUUUAUCGCCCAGGGAUGAGCCCGCGUAGGAUUAGCUAGUUGGUGAGGUAAAGGCUCACCAAGGCUACGAUCCUUAGCUGGUCUGAGAGGAUGAUCAGCCACACUGGGACUGAGACACGGCCCAGACUCCUACGGGAGGCAGCAGUAGGGAAUAUGGACAAUGGGCGAAAGCCUGAUCCAGCAAUGCCGCGUGAGUGAUGAAGGCCUUAGGGUUGUAAAGCUCGUUUACCGGGAUGAUAAUGACAGUAACGGGAGAAUAAGCUCCGCUAACGUCCGCGCCAGCAGCCGC
rnacentral:rRNA from 1 species